UAGUAUGAAAUAUCAGUAAUGUUUUCAUUACAACUACAUUCUUUUUUCUCUACGUUGGAGAGAAAAGGAGGAAAGAUUAAUACUGCAACAAGUGCAGCUGAAAAGAAUAGAUCUUAGAACUGUAACCUAUUUAAAUCUUGUAUUAUUGCUCCUGAAAAGAUGACAUAUCAUCUACAAAAAUAAAAAAUGUAUAUAAUUAAUUACCAUCUACCAUAAAUUGUCAUUAUUGCGUUUAAUAGCGCUAUUAGCUAGCUCCGCAAACAGCUGAUAGCGAUAAAUAGCGUCAAAAUUCGCGCCGCGAAUAGUGUCUCCUCAAAUGCACCCAUAGGCUGCGUUCCGUUUCAUGUAUGAAUGCGCAUGAUUUAUUGCUUAUCCUUGUUUAACAUUCGGUGAACAAUAAGCUUACUGACCGAAGGGAUGGAAAAGAUAUCUUCGGAUUUGAUGAUUUUGAUUAAUUAACCUAGGAAUUAUACUGCGACAUGUACUCGUAUUUUGUUGUUUUUUGGGAUGAAUGGUACAAUACCGGAAUGGUACAAUACCGCUACAAUACCGGAUUCUUGAAUUAUCUUAAAGUCUCAAGUUUUUAAAUGGCCACCCAAAAAUAAGAAUGCUACUAAUGAAAGUAAAAGAGGAACAAAGCCUCAAGAAAAGUGGAUAACAGUUCCAUAUUCCAAAUUAUUAGGACCUUUCGAUACUUUCAAAGAAGCGAGAGAAGUUGAGAACAAUACUUUAGAUAUUUCAACGAAUGAUGAAAACUUGCGGAAGUGACAAAAAAGAAAAAUACUGAGGUUUCACAAAAACGUGCAAUUCAAAAACCAUAUCGUUUUCUUUCUUCCUCUUCCAAUUCUUCUUCUGAGGAAGAAGAGGAAAGUCAAACAAAGACAAAAGCUAUUAAGAGGAAGAGUAGUCAACAUUCAAUGAACCAAACAACAAAUAAAAAUCUAAUAGAGCCAACAGAAAAUUCAUGUAAUAAUAAACCUCCAACAAAUUACAAAUCACUAAAUGCAAGAGAAUUUUGUCAUACGUCGAUUAAAGAAUCAUGGAAUGAAAAUGAUUACUAGAUUGCACUAAGGAACAAAUUUUUGAGAAAGACGAAUUUAUUUUCUUUUUCACUUUAUUCGAAAAGAUAUUUCUUUAGAAUUACAGGCUGAUAUACUUACACAUGAAGAUCCUUUAUGCAUCACGAAAACUGAAUCAAAAUCAAAAGUGUCAGAAAAACCAACAAUCAAAAAUAUUGUUGUAACAAAUAUACCAUUACUUGUUGGAAUCUUACAUAAUAAAAAAAAUGGCAAGAAUCAAUCAUGGAAUAGUGAAAAUAAUAUCCAAAAAUUACAGCUAAAUGAUCGAAAUACAGAAACAGACAAGGAACAAAAAUCAGGCAGUCAUCAUGAAAUGCAGACAUCACAAAAUACCAGCCAAAAGCAAAAAAUAGAUAAUCAUCAAGAAUGUUGCAGAGUUUGUCGGAACGAUAUUUCAACGAUUUUACGUACUGUGAUAGGAAUACGACAAAUACUUUUAGAUUCAAAUCCACACCAGUUACAAGGAGAAAAUAUUGAUUUGGAUUUGCCGAUUUUUAAUGUUAAGAAAUUAGAUGAAUUUAAUAAAAGACUUUGUGAAGAUUGUACUACUCGAUUGUAAUAUCAAAGAAUGAUUCGGACAAUAGGAGGUAUAACCCCACAUAAACAUGUACGAAACGCGAUGCGUUUAACAAUAGCUGAUACGUUAGCUUACCAAAUGACUUGGACUAAUAAAAAAAAAUAAGAUUGAAACUCAGAACAUGAAAUUCAUCAAUCUCAUUAUUGAAACUCUCGUUACUGAUCGGAAUAUUUCUAUCGCCAAUGUGCAAAAAGUAUUAAAAUCAUGGUUGCAACAUGCCGGCGAUCGAAUAAAUCGAAGACAAAAAGAAGAAAUUCAAAAUGAGUCAGUGGAUGAUUAAUACUUUUAUAAUAAUAUAUAAUAUAAUAAUAAUAAUAACUUAAUAUAAUUAUGACAUGGACGUAUCCAGAA